UUUUCCUAGUGAUCUGAUUACUCUUCAUAAUUACUAUAAAUUAUCAUAAUUAUUUAAAAAGG
rnacentral:rRNA from 1 species